UGGGGAAUUUUGGACAAUGGGCGAAAGCCUGAUCCAGCAAUGCCGCGUGUGUGAAGAAGGCCUUCGGGUUGUAAAGCACUUUUGUCCGGAAAGAAAUCCUCUGGGUUAAUACCUCGGGGGGAUGACGGUACCGGAAGAAUAAGCACCGGCUAACUACGUGCCAGCAGCCGCGGUAAUACGUAGGGUGCAAGCGUUAAUCGGAAUUACUGGGCGUAAAGCGUGCGCAGGCGGUUUUGUAAGACGGAUGUGAAAUCCCCGGGCUUAACCUGGGAACUGCAUUCGUGACUGCAAGGCUAGAGUAUGGCAGAGGGGGGUAGAAUUCCACGUGUAGCAGUGAAAUGCGUAGAGAUGUGGAGGAAUACCGAUGGCGAAGGCAGCCCCCUGGGCCAAUACUGACGCUCAUGCACGAAAGCGUGGGGAGCAAACGGGAUUAGAUACCCUGGUAGUCCACGCCCUAAACGAUGUCAACUAGUUGUUGGGGAUUCAUUUCCUUAGUAACGUAGCUAACGCGUGAAGUUGACCGCCUGGGGGAGUACGGUCGCAAGAUUAAAACUCAAAUGAAUUGACGGGGUCAUAGCUGUUUCCUG
rnacentral:rRNA from 1 species